AGCGAACGCUGGCGGCAGGCCUAACACAUGCAAGUCGAACGGACCCUUCGGGGUUAGUGGCGGACGGGUGAGUAACACGUGGGAACGUGCCCUUUGGUUCGGAACAACUCAGGGAAACUUGAGCUAAUACCGAAUGUGCCCUUUGGGGGAAAGAUUUAUCGCCAUUGGAGCGGCCCGCGUCUGAUUAGCUAGUUGGUGGGGUAAUGGCCUACCAAGGCUACGAUCAGUAGCUGGUCUGAGAGGAUGAUCAGCCACAUUGGGACUGAGACACGGCCCAAACUCCUACGGGAGGCAGCAGUGGGGAAUCUUGCGCAAUGGGCGAAAGCCUGACGCAGCCAUGCCGCGUGAAUGAUGAAGGUCUUCGGGUUGUAAACCGCUUUUCUCAGGGACGAUGAUGACGGUACCUGAGGAAUAAGUCACGGCUAACUACGUGCCAGCCGCCGCGGUAACAC
rnacentral:rRNA from 1 species